UACAGAGGGUGCAAGCGUUGUUCGGAAUUAUUGGGCGUAAAGGGCGCGUAGGCGGUGCCACAAGUCACCUGUGAAAUCUCCGGGCUUAACUCGGAGCCUGCAGGCGAAACUGUGGUGCUGGAGUGUGGGAGAGGUGCGUGGAAUUCCCGGUGUAGAGGUGAAAUUCGUAGAUAUCGGGAGGAACACCAGUGGCGAAGGCGGCCACCUGGACGGACACUGACGCUGAGACGCGAAAGCGUGGGGAUCAAACAGG
rnacentral:rRNA from 1 species